AUGUAUGUGCUGAUUAGUGUUGGACAUCUUUGCAGUAUAAUUGAUGCGGCGAGUGAAGGUGUUAGGUGCAUAACUGGGUUUUACCAAUUGCAGAAGGUGGGUUGUUGCAGGAUAUGUGGGAUGGUUAUGCUACAUGAAUACCUGCAAAGGGUCUGCAACUCUAUUGACAAAUUAAUCUCUCCAAGUAUACAAGGGGAUAUACGGGGGAUUGGAUGGUUAAGAGCUGAGCUUCUUUUAGGGAAUAUUAAUCAUUUUUCUACAAUUGAACGAGGUCUUGCUUUGAAAUUUGAUCAUUCAGUUUGUUGUUUCUGA